UGGAUCGAUGAUGACUUCCUUAUAUACAUUCCUUGGAAAGCUGAACAAAAUGAGUGAAAACUCUAUACCGUCAUCCUCGUCGAACUGAGGUCCA
rnacentral:snoRNA from 1 species